UACAGAGGGUGCGAGCGUUGUCCGGAAUCACUGGGCGUAAAGGGCGCGUAGGCGGCUUGAUAAGCGUGCGGUGAAAGCCCGGGGCUCAACCCCGGGUCGGCCGUGCGAACUGUCGAGCUGGAGCACUGUAGAGGCAGGUGGAAUUCCGGGUGUAGCGGUGGAAUGCGUAGAGAUCCGGAAGAACACCGGUGGCGAAGGCGGCCUGCUGGGCUAUGGCUGACACUGAGGCGCGACAGCGUGGGGAGCAAACAGG
rnacentral:rRNA from 1 species